AUCACCAAAGUCAACAAUUUCAAGCCAAGAAAACAGCCAUAUAUGUAAUUAGCAGGUUAGGCUGCGUACAUAUACCCUUUUGGUGUGGCCCUUCCCUGAACCCUUAUCGCGGGAUGCUUGUGUGAUACUUGUUUACCGGGCUGCCCUUUUUUUAUUGUAGCACUUUCUGUGUAGAUUUAGAAACUUAAAAAAGCCAAAUUUGACUUUGUUUCCACUGUUUAAGAUUCUUUGUAACUGAAAUUGUAUUAUUCUCGGGCUUUAGUUCAACAUAGAAAAUGUCCAACUUUCUUCUUUAGAUCUAAAUCUAUUGUCUUUGUUACUUGUAAAUGAUGUUUGACGUCUUUUAUGAAUAAAAACUUAUUUCCUAUCUAUUAAAAAAAAUGUUAUCAACAUUGUCUUGUCAGAGUAGCAGA